rnacentral:lncRNA from 1 species
GAUGGCGACACUGUCACUCUCAGCUUCACUCCCGGGCCUUAAGCCAGCUGAAUGCAUUGGUUCUCUAUGCCCACCAGCAACAACAACUCAGUAUUCAGUGUUCUUUGCCGGUCUUUACCUUAUCUCCCUUGGUACUGGAGGCAUAAAACCAUGUGUCUCAUCUUUUGGUGCUGAUCAGUUUGAUGACACUGACCCUCAUGAACGACCAAGUAAAACUUCUUUCUUUAACUGGUUUUACUUCUCCAUCAACAUCGGUGCCUUUGUCUCAUCUACUCUUCUAGUGUGGGUUCAAGAGACCUGUGGGUGGGGUCUAGGGUUCUUGAUCCCUACUGUUGUCAUGGGGCUCUCUCUCGUGAGUUUCUUCUGUGGUACUCCGCUUUAUAGGUUUCAGAAACCGGGAGGUAGCCCGGUUACUAGGGUCAGCCAAGUUCUUGUAGCUGCUUACCUUAAAAUGAGUCUCAAGUUUGAUGAAGAAGACCAUACACUUCUGUUUGAAACACAAGACAAGAACUCCGCAAUACCUGGAAGCAGGAAGAUUGAGCACACAGACGGUUACAAGAAAAUAUCGUUUUAUCAUUUUGAAUAGAGAGCUUCAUGUUAUGGAGUGUUUAGGCCUGGGCAAAAAAAUCAGAACCGAAAACCAAAAAUCGGAAUCAGAACUGAACCGGAAUGAAACCUUCAAAUACCCAAAUGAUUUCUAUAUUUUGAUAUUUGAAAUAACUGAACCAGAAUCGAACCGAGAACUGAACGGAUAUCCCAAUAUAUAAAAAUAUCCGAACUAUCCAAAAUUAUCAUUUUUAUCUGAAAUAUUCAAAACAAUCCAAACUUUUUGAGAUUUUAAUCUAAAUCAUCAUAAUUACUCGAUAUUUAUCUGAAAUAUCUGAUAUUUUAUCCAAAUUACCCAAAAUAACUGACCCAAAACCAAAUAGGAACCAAAAUUUUCUGGUAUUAGAUGUUCCUAAUUUUACUAUCCCAAUUGAUCUGAACCCGAAACUACCCGAACAGAUCCAAACCCAAAAAAAAAUUUGGUUCUUAUAUGGAUCUUCUAUCCCCUACCUGAAUUACCUGAUAUCCAAAAUACCCGACACGAACUAACGAAUAUCCGAAAUGCUCAGGCCUAAGAAUGUUCAUGGGGGAAAUAAACUGGUUUCUCAUAUCACAUGCAGGUGUCUUGACAAAGCCGCAGUUAUUACAGAACAUGAUGUCACAAAUGGUGUCUCUCCUAACCCAUGGAAGCUAUGUACUGUGACUCAAGUAGAAGAAGUUAAGAUUCUGUUACGUAUGUUUCCCAUCUGGGUCUCCGGCAUCGUGUUCACAGCGCUCCAGUCUCAGAUAUACACCCUCUUCGUGCAGCAAGGACGGUCCAUGAAACAUACCAUAGGCUCAUUUGAGAUUCCUCCCGCUACACUCGGGAUGUUCGACACUGCAAGUGUGCUCAUAUGUAUCCCAAUCUACGACAAAGUCCUCGUUCCCUUUGUGAGACGGUUCACAGGCAGAGCAAAGGGAUUCACUGAUCUACAACGCAUGGGAGUUGGACUUCUUGUCUCUGUCUUGAGCAUGGCAGCUGCAGCUAUUGUCGAGACAAAGAGGCUACGUGGUCUCGGAGCAAUGAACAUCUUUUGGCAGGUUCCUCAGUACUUUCUUAUGGGCACAGCGGAGGUUUUCUUCUACAUUGGUCAGGUUGAGUUUUACUACGAGCAGUCUCCUGACGCGAUGAGGAGCUUGUGUAGUGCCUUGCCGCUUCUCUCUACUGCCUUUGGGAGCUAUCUGAGCUCGUUGAUCCUCUCGCUUGUGGCGUAUUUCACGACAAUGGAUGGUCAAGAUGGUUGGAUUCCUUCGGAGGACAUUGAUAAAGGACAUCUUGACUACUUCUUCUGGCUUUUGGUCUGUUUUGGUUGUGCGAAUAUUCCUGUUUUUGUCUUCUUCUCUGUCAAGCACUUGCAGAAAAAGGCUGCUUAAGCUUCAGCUUGGCUCUUGUUUAAUAUUUGUAUACACGGAGAGUCAGAAACAUGUAAAAGUUAUGGGCCACUAUGUAAAACUAUGAAGACUUCAUUUCAUACUUAUUUGUAAAUACGUCAUAGUUCCUGUGCUACAUGUUGGCCGUUGUAAUAUUGAUGAAAAAGAUGGAAAUCAAAGAGUAAUUUGGUGUUGCCAAAUUUUGGCAUUUACUGCUUUUCAUGUUAUUAAAUUUAUAUUUAUUCAGAUAUUUCGUAAUCAUAAUGUUAAAUUUUAACUUAACAUAUUUACUUUCCUUUAAAAUUUUGUUUUUAAUUAUUCAUGGUCAACAUUUUUAAAACGAUGAUUAAUUAUAUUUUAUAAACUAUAAGAAACAUUAUAAAGACAAUUUUUCACCUAAUUAUUUUACCUGUUUUACAAAGAUUUGGGUAUAACGGCAUCAUCAUGAGCUUUCUAAAAAUCUACGGUUGAUAUUACUCCUUGUACUAUAUUAAAAAUUUUCUAAAAAGUUUUCUUUUUUAGUUUAUAUAAUUUACUUUUUGGAACUUAAAACUCAAAUCUUUUCAUAUUUUAACAUUAAUGAAUAUUUAGUUAAAUUACUUGAUUAAAAAACCUUCCACGCAGCAAAUUAUUUAUUUUAAAAAAAUUCAAAUAAUUUUACAUAACAGAAAACAAUUUUUUAUAAUUAUUAUUAAAUACCAAUAAUUAAUAUCAUGCCAAACUGCGAAAAGUGGAAGAAUCAAAGAAUUUUAAAAAUAGUUACUAUUGUGUGUACUACGUAAAAGCCCGGUCCUGGGCUAGAAUCCGUGUUGGGGUCAAAAUCGGUCACGACGGAAUCAAUGUCUGAAAGUCCGUAAAAAUCGGCAUGAACGUUUUUAUGAAAAAUAAAUCUUAGAAAAAGAUUUGUUGGGGUCGAAAACGGUUGCAACAAAGUUAACGUCAAAAUCCCCGAAGAAGAAAAACGUAAAAACCUUCUUCGACAAAUACUUUUUCGAAAUAGAUUCUUCUUUACGAAAAACUUUGCGGAAGAAACGCGAGUCAUCGGACAAGAGUUCGAAGAGGGUCGCUACGCAGCAACCAAACACAUGUUCCGCUCGGUCGCUACGUAGCGACCGAGCUCGAACCAAAGUUCGGUCGCUACGUAGCGACCAAGCUCUUCCAAAACGUCGAUACGACAUUAGUCACUAUUUAUAGUGGUGUGGAAGUCGGUUGAUCAAAUCAACUAGAAGAAAAAAACAAAACCAAAAGGACGAUGAUGCACAAAUGAACCAAGAAGAAGACAAGUGUAAUGUAAUGGCAACAUAUGACAUAGACAUCUAGUCCACUAGAUGAAUCAUCAAUUGCAACAUAUUUUUAUUAAUCCACUAUUGUUUUUUUGUCAAGGAUUUUUAAUCCACUAUUGAAAAAUGAAAAUUACUACCUAAUCCAACAUUGUUUUCUUUUCUAGACUAUAUUUUGUUAUUAAUAUUUAUAGAAGUUUUGAAUUUGAAUUUCUAAAUCAACGGUAGAUUAAUCUUUUUUACCCUUAAUUAUGUUAGUCAAACCCAUACGCGAUUUUAUAUCAGAUAAAUCCAUUUGCUAUUUCCUCAUCUGCCCCAGAAAAUAAACACACCCUUUAUUCGAACCAACACAUAUCAUUUUUCAAAAUAUUUAAUCAAAUGAUACUUUUUGUAACAAUAUUUUAUUUUGCAGAAAAAAAUCUGUUGUGUCAUUUUAGAAUACUAAGUUACUAACCGAUCAAAAAUAGCAUUGUUGACAUCUAAUUUACAACAAUAUAUUUAAAGUUCAGCAUCCGUUUUCAUUACAGUUUUACAGGCAUCAUAGAUGCGUUUCACGUAUUAUUUUUUCCUGAAAGAGCACUAUCCUAUUACUCCCUCUGUUUGUUUUUUUAAAUGAUAUUUUAGUUUUAACACAUAAAUUAAAAAAAAGUUAUUUUUACUAAAAGCAUUUGAUUACAACAAAAAAAGAAUAAUAAAAAAUUACUAAUCAUUGCUAUUCUGAACUAAUAAGACAAAAACAAUAACAUAUUAACAUUUAAUAUUUUAAUCAUUUAUUUUAAUAGUUUUACAUAAAAAGUUUUAAAAUAUCAUAUAUAUUUAAACAAAAACAUUUUCUAAAACAUCAUAUAAAAAAAACGGGAAGAGUAUUAUUUUGUUUAAUGUACUAGUCCAAUUUUGUCCAAAAAAAAAUUCUACUACUAGUCCAUUCAAUUGAUUUUUGGGGAUUUUUUCAUGAGUGGCCGUGGUACUUAUACGUAAUAACGAGGUGGUACAAAGGGUAUAACUGUCAGACAAAAAAAAACAGAAAAAGUCGACCCUUCAAGUCAAUUCUAAACGCGACAGUCAGCUGGAACAGGCAAAAGGAGACGGCCAUCGACGAAUACGCGUUAUAUGGAAUUAAGGAGGAUCUUGUUGUAACAAUAAAGAAAAGUUUGGGCCUUUUUGUAAGACUUUGAAAGUCAAGGGGAAACAAUUAGUUUUACCAAAAAAAAUACAUCUCCAAACUUUUCGUAUACAUUUGAACAUUACAGAAAAAGUCGCCGGUCCGGUGGUCCGUCAGGCCAGAGUAAUCUUCUAAUUAGUUUGCUUUGAAGUGAAAACGAUGGGUUCCAUCGAAGAGGAAAGACCCCUCUUCCAACAAGGUUCUGUAUUAUUACAGGUUCGAUCAAGUUGUGUUCUUUGACUUUCAAUUUACUUACCAAUUAUUACAAUUAGAUCAAGGAACUGUGGGUUUUCGUAUCGUAUGGUUUCUAUGUAUCAGUCAACUUUCGCUGAGCUGUAGUUGUGAUGCUUAUGUUAGCUAAGUUGGAUUAGAUUUCAUUGGAUGUGUGUUUGUCUGAACAUGUUUCUUGAUUUUGUUUAAGCAGGAAGUGAAACUGUAUGCUGAAGAUGGUUCAGUGGACAUUCAUGGAAACCCACCAUUAAAGCAGAAGACAGGAAACUGGAAAGCUUGUCCAUUCAUUCUCGGUAAUAAAAACAAAAAACAAAUGUUUCUUGUUUUGUCUUUGUUGUAGCUCUAAUCCUUCAAGACUAAUAAUGUCUGCAACGUUGCAGGCAAUGAAUGCUGCGAACGCUUAGCUUACUACGGUAUUGCCAAGAAUCUAGUCACUUACUUCACGACAAAAUUGCAUGAGACUAAUGUUUCUGCGGCAAGGCAUGUCAUGAUAUGGCAAGGCACUUGUUACAUUACUCCUCUCAUUGGAGCUUUAAUAGCUGAUGCUUACUGGGGAAGAUACUGGACUAUUGCUUGUUUCUCUGCCAUUUAUUUCACCGUAAGCAUUUACAAUUGUAUUGUUAUUCUCCUUUUUGAUAAUGUUCUUUGCUAACCAGAGGUCGUUAACGCAAUUAAAAAAGAUUUUGGCCAUUGUAUCAAAAGUCUUGGGUUCGAGUGACCAAUGGAUAAAACUAAUAUUACAUGCUGUGGUUUCGGGUCUGGGAGAAUUACGGGUUUCGGGUUUCGAUCCUGGACCUCCUCGUAUUCAAAUAAUAAUAAUAAUGUUCUGUGCUUUGAUUUUGUUAAGGGGAUGGCGACACUGUCACUCUCAGCUUCACUCCCGGGCCUUAAGCCAGCUGAAUGCAUUGGUUCUCUAUGCCCACCAGCAACAACAACUCAGUAUUCAGUGUUCUUUGCCGGUCUUUACCUUAUCUCCCUUGGUACUGGAGGCAUAAAACCAUGUGUCUCAUCUUUUGGUGCUGAUCAGUUUGAUGACACUGACCCUCAUGAACGACCAAGUAAAACUUCUUUCUUUAACUGGUUUUACUUCUCCAUCAACAUCGGUGCCUUUGUCUCAUCUACUCUUCUAGUGUGGGUUCAAGAGAC